rnacentral:rRNA from 1 species
GUAAGGAAUAUUGGUCAAUGGAGGGAACUCUGAACCAGCCAUGCCGCGUGCAGGAUGACUGCCCUAUGGGUUGUAAACUGCUUUUAUACGGGAAUAACCGUGGGUACGUGUACCCAUCUGAAUGUACCGUAAGAAUAAGGAUCGGCUAACUCCGUGCCAGCAGCCGCGGUAAUACGGAGGAUCCAAGCGUUAUCCGGAUUUAUUGGGUUUAAAGGGUGCGUAGGCGGCUAAUUAAGUCAGGGGUGAAAUACGGCAGCUCAACUGUCGCAGUGCCUUUGAUACUGGUUAGCUUGAAUAUGGACGAAGAUGGCGGAAUGAGACAAGUAGCGGUGAAAUGCAUAGAUAUGUCUCAGAACUCCGAUUGCGAAGGCAGCUGUCUAGGUCAUUAUUGACGCUGAUGCACGAAAGCGUGGGGAUCAAACAGGAUUAGAAACCCUAGUAGUCC